rnacentral:sRNA from 17 species
UUAAUGGGCGGCUAGGGUUCCGGUUUCGUCGGAAAUGUCUGGUCCAAGAGCUGCCGGUUCUGUCUGCCGUGGGUGAUUGCCGCGGUGUGUCAGAGCUCCACGGAGGGAUAAAAGCCCGGGAGGA